CCUACGGGAGGCAGCAGUGGGGAAUAUUGGACAAUGGGCGAAAGCCUGAUCCAGCAAUGCCGCGUGAGUGAUGAAGGCCUUCGGGUCGUAAAGCUCUUUUACCAGGGAUGAUAAUGACAGUACCUGGAGAAUAAGCUCCGGCUAACUCCGUGCCAGCAGCCGCGGUAAUACGGAGGGAGCUAGCGUUGUUCGGAAUUACUGGGCGUAAAGAGUACGUAGGCGGUUAUUCAAGUCAGAGGUGAAAGCCCGGGGCUCAACCCCGGAACUGCCUUUGAAACUAGAUAACUAGAGUCUUGGAGAGGUUAGUGGAAUUCCGAGUGUAGAGGUGAAAUUCGUAGAUAUUCGGAAGAACACCAGUGGCGAAGGCGACUAACUGGACAAGUACUGACGCUGAGGUACGAAAGCGUGGGGAGCAAACAGGAUUAGAUACCCUGGUAGUCCACGCCGUAAACGAUGAUAACUAGUUGUUCGGUACACUUGGUGACGUGUAGUAGACGACGAGACUAACGACUAUUAAGUUAUCCGUCCGUCGGGUAGGUACGGUCGCGAAGAAUUAAACUAACAAAGUAAGUUAGUACGGCGUGAGACGUGCCGACGACGACGACGACGGGAGGUAGG
rnacentral:rRNA from 1 species